rnacentral:rRNA from 1 species
GCCAAGAAAAGUCACUAUCGAUGACCAAAGCGCCCGUACCAAAACCGACACAGGUAGGGAGGUAGAGAAUACCAAGACGCGCGGAAGAACCUUUGUUAAGGAACUCGGCAAAAUGUCCCCGUAACUUCGGGAGAAGGGGAGCCAGAGCGAUCUGGCCACAGAAACCAGGCCCAAGCGACUGUUUACCAAAAACACAAGUUUCUGCAAAAUCGUAAGAUGAAGUAUAGGGCCUGACACCUGCCCGGUGCCGGAAGGUUAAGUG